ACAGGCAUAGGCAGGCUGUGGUAAAUGGCUCCAGGUAGGUAUUCUGCUAGCUGCAGGAUACCUGGAGUCCUGCAUCUGAUGUGGAAGUAGGAUUGGGAGCCUGAAUUAAAGCAUGUGUUCAAUGGGGACAUGCUAGCUCCAAGCACCAAACUUACAUUGUGAUUGUCAGUUAAGGUGUUAACACUGCUGUCUCUUCAACCUGGGGACCUGAGGGCUGCAGAAGGCACUGGGAGGACAGAGUCUGUAUCACACCUUUACUGCCAUCCAUGCUUCAAUCUCUGCAGCUAAUGCAACUUAUUGAAAAUCACAAUCCUGAUCAUGACCUCCUUCCUUGCAGCUCUGCCUUUGUCCUCACAACCUGCAGGACUCACCUCCUUCUUGCAUUGCUGCCUCUUCUGCCAACUGCAGCCCCGCAUUUUGUGGCAGUAAGAAAGACCUACAGGUGAUGAGAGGUGGGAGGGAGAGGAUGACUUUUUUCCUGGCAACUUGACCCCUUUACCACCCAGUGCUGGUUCCUUUCUCACAGGCAUCCUUCGAGAAGGCAUUAUCCCCUCCAGAAGGCACAGAAGGUUGUGAUCUACAUUUGUGUUUAUCUGUUACUGGUCUAUAGUGUACCUAAGUGAUGAAAACAGCUACUGACAGCCGGGCAGGUUAAGAAAAAUUGAUUGCCUGGAACUACAGGUUCACAUCCCAGCAGUAAUAUUUUUAGUCCUUCAGAUGCAGCUAAACUUGUAGCUAGCAGCUUACUGGGUGUUCAGAGACUGAUGUUAAUGACACGUUAUGCAAAAGUAUCUCUUCCGGGACAGAAUCUUAUUCCUCCUAGUGCAACAUAUGCAGUUAUUAGUCUUCCACCCCAGAAGUGGCCACAUGUCUGAUUCUGGCUGUGUAUACAGCAGCUUGUGAAACAUGCCAAGACUCCCCAGUAUGGAAGGCAUUGCAGAAAUUUAAGACAGGAUCUGAGCUAUGACAAGCAGAGUGCCUGGCAUCAUAUUCCAUCAUGCAGCAGGGGAAACAGGGAUGCAAAAUAUGUUCUUGAGCUGAAUAAGCUAUUUGGACAGAAUAAGGACCGAGGUGAACUUUAGUCUCCAAAUUUAAACCAAAACCGGAUUACAAGUCUUCUCACAUUGGUGUGUCACAGUUACCUCAUGAAAUUACUCCACCUCCAUUGCCACCAGCUGUUUUUUUGUUGUAGGAGUUUAAUUCACAGUUCCAAUUGCUGAAAAACACCCAAAGAUUGGGGCAAAGCAAACAGGAAAUCUGGUAGCUCAACUAUGGCAGGGUGAGUCACUUCAUUACUCUGCAUUGCAGAAACUCAGACCCCAACAAUUACUUUUCAUUUCUCUUUUGACCUCAUGGGACUUCAUAUUUUUUGGACCUGUUUGGUGAGAAAGCAUUUCAGAUGUGAGCAUUGUCUUAGGUCUUCUUGCUGCUUCAUGAUUUGUGGUUAAUAUGAUGCUGGAGAAAUCCAGCAAAAAUCCUUCUGGUUAGCCCAGUUUAACUUAAUCUAGUUCAGCUGCAGCCCCUGAGCACCAAAUCACAACAUCUGAAGAUUUUUUUUUUUAGUACAAAUUAGCACCUCAUCACAUCCAGUCACCACCUCCACCUGGAGCAAAGGGAAGGGGGUAGCCCCAGCAAUGAGUGGAUGAUAUGUUUGGGCUUAGUUCGUAUUCAUGAGGUAGAGAACCUGAUUGCAAAGCAGGGGCAGGUGACCAGGGAGGUCAAUGGAGAUUUAGCUGCCAACUUGGUGAACAGGAUUUCAACCUGUGUCUGUGAUUAGUGAUGAAAUGAAUUCCACAGCUUGAAAUCAUUUAUCCAGCAUCUCCAAUCAAACACAAACAUCCUCUGAGCUUGAAAAUAAAUGAGGGUUGGAGCCAGCUA